CUCACUGGCUGGAUGACCAGCCUCCGUAACUUUACUGGGUUCACCAAGGCCCUGGCGUGCUGCCUCACCUGCACGGGCAGCGUCUGCCCACCUGCAGAGAGCUGUGCAUCGUGACCAGCCGACCUGCUGUGAGGAAGGACAGUGCCUCACUGCGUACCCCAUGAUGGGACAGAUGCUCAUAAAAAACAAGUAAGAACUCAACUUUCAGUGCAUGUCUGGACAGAGCCAGCUUCGCUUGAAGAUUAUUGGGAAACAUUCCCAUUGGGACUAUUACAAGUUCUAGUCAUGUUUUU